UAAUUCCGUAGGUGGCCAAGCGGUUGUCCCGGAUUUAUUGGGCCGUAAGGCGAGCGCAAGCGGUUUUUGUAAGUCUGCUGUGAAAGCCCUCAGCUCCACUGAGGAAGUGCAGUGGAAACUACAAAACUUGAGUACAGAAGAGGAAAGUGGAACUCCAUGUGUAGCGGUGAAAUGCGUAGAUAUAUGGAAGAACACCAGUGGCGAAGGCGGCUUUCUGGUCUGUUACUGACGCUGAGGCUCGAAAGCAUGGGUAGCGAACAGGAUUAGAUACCCUGGUAGUCCAUGCCGUAAACGAUGAAUACUAGGUGUUGGAGGGUUUCCGCCCUUCAGUGCCGCAGCUAACGCAUUAAGUAUUCCGCCUGGGGAGUACGACCGCAAGGUUGAAACUCAAAGGAAUUGACGGGGGCCCGCACAAGUGGUGGAGCAUGUGGUUUAAUUCGAUGCUACGCGAAGAACCUUACCAGCUCUUGACAUCUUCUGCCAACCCAAGAGAUUGGGCGUUCCCUUCGGGGACAGAAUGACAGGUGGUGCAUGGUUGUCGUCAGCUCGUGUCGUGAGAUGUUGGGUUAAGUCCCGCAACGAGCGCAACCCUUAUUAUUAGUUGCCAGCAUUUAGUUGGGCACUCUAGUGAGACUGCCGGUGAUAAACCGGAGGAAGGUGGGGACGACGUCAAAUCAUCAUGCCCCUUAUGAGCUGGGCUACACACGUGCUACAAUGGAUGGUACAACGAGUCGCGAAACCGCGAGGUCAAGCUAAUCUCUUAAAGCCAUUCUCAGUUCGGAUUGCAGGCUGCAACUCGCCUGCAUGAAGUUGGAAUCACUAGUAAUCGUGGAUCAGCAUGCCACGGUGAAUACGUUCCCGGGCCUUGUACACACCGCCCGUCACAGCAUGAGAGUUUGUAACACCCAAAGACGAUGGGGUAACCUUUUAGGAGCUAGUC
rnacentral:rRNA from 2 species